rnacentral:rRNA from 1 species
AUCUGCCCUUAUGGUGGGGAUAACGCCGGGAAACCGGUGCUAAAACCGAAUGUGACGCCGGAAGACAUCUUCCGAACGUUAAAGGCGGGGACCGCAAGGCCUGCUCCAUAGGGAUGGGCCCGCACAUCAUCAGCUUGUUGGUGGGGUAACGGCCUACCAAGGCUUACGAUUAGCUGGUCUGAGAGGACGACCAGCCGCACUGGGACUGAGAUACUGCCCAGACUUCUACGGAAGGCUGCAGUCGAGGAUCAUUUGCAAUGGGGGAAACCCUGACAAUGCGACGCUGCGUGGAGGAUGACGGUCUUCGGAUUGUAAACUCCUGUCAUACGGGACGAAUAAAUGAGGGUUAAUAGCCCUUUGACGUGACGGUACCGUAAGAGGAAGCCACGGCUAACUCUGUGCCAGCAGCCGCGGUAAUACAGAGGUGGCGAGCGUUGUUCGGAUUUACUGGGCGUAAAGGGCGCGUAGGCGGCAAAGUGUGUGAGGUGUGAAAUCCAUGGGCUCAACCCAUGAAGUGCGCCUCAAACUGCUUUGCUUGAGUUCGGGAGGGGAGAUCGGAAUACAGGGUGUAGCGGUGAAAUGCGUUGAUAUCCUGUAGAACACCGGUGGCGAAGGCGGAUCUCUGGAACGAUACUGACGCUGANGCGCGAAAGUAGGGGGAGCAAACAGGAUUAGAUACCCUGGUAGUCCCUACUGUAAACGGUGUACACUUGCCGUGACCGGAUUUCACCCCGGUCGUGGCGGA